GAAAAAACUGGGAAUGGGAAGAAGAAGGUGAACUACAAGUUAAGGGAUUGGCUUUUUGCACGGCAGUGUUACUGGGAGUGGGGGGAAUCUAUCCCAGUCGUUUUCUUGGAGGAUACCGGUGAGAGUGUUCCACUUUUUGAAACUGAUUUGCCCUUUAAAUUCCAAUAAUUGGAUGAUUUCACUCCCAAAGGGACAGGAGAAC
rnacentral:misc_RNA from 1 species